GAUGAACGCUGGCGGCGUGCCUAAUACAUGCAAGUCGAGCGAACAGACGAGGAGCUUGCUCCUCUGACGUUAGCGGCGGACGGGUGAGUAACACGUGGAUAACCUACCUAUAAGACUGGGAUAACUUCGGGAAACCGGAGCUAAUACCGGAUAAUAUAUUGAACCGCAUGGUUCAAUAGUGAAAGACGGUUUUGCUGUCACUUAUAGAUGGAUCCGCGCCGCAUUAGCUAGUUGGUAAGGUAACGGCUUACCAAGGCAACGAUGCGUAGCCGACCUGAGAGGGGGAUCGGCCACACUGGAACUGAGACACGGUCCAGACUCCUACGGGAGGCAGCAGUAGGGAAGCUUCCGCAAUGGGCGAAAGCCUGACGGAGCAACGCCGCGUGAGUGAUGAAGGUCUUCGGAUCGUAAAACUCUGUUAUUAGGGAAGAACAAAUGUGUAAGUAACUAUGCACGUCUUGACGGUACCUAAUCAGAAAGCCACGGCUAACUACGUG
rnacentral:rRNA from 1 species